CUGGGAGAGCUAAUACCCACGUGACGCGUUCGCCCAAUCAGCUGCCGGUCGACGUCCCUGGUCCCUCCCCUUUCUGCUUUGUAGUCAAGAUGGCGCGCGUUUAGUGCACGUAGUGUCCAUCGUUCCACACUGAACUUUUUGACCGUUUUUAGGGGGUCAUCCUGGUACUUUCAGUGCACUGACUUUUUGCGUUAUCUACACUAUAUACUUAAAACUAAGUGUCUGAAGUGUGUAAGUAGGCG